AAAGGGGAGGCGGGGCCUAUACAUGCAAGUCGAACGCUUCUUUCCUCCCGAGUGCUUGCACUCAAUUGGAAAGAGGAGUGGCGGACGGGUGAGUAACACGUGGGUAACCUACCCAUCAGAGGGGGAUAACACUUGGAAACAGGUGCUAAUACCGCAUAACAGUUUAUGCCGCAUGGCAUAAGAGUGAAAGGCGCUUUCGGGUGUCGCUGAUGGAUGGACCCGCGGUGCAUUAGCUAGUUGGUGAGGUAACGGCUCACCAAGGCCACGAUGCAUAGCCGACCUGAGAGGGUGAUCGGCCACACUGGGACUGAGACACGGCCCAGACUCCUACGGGAGGCAGCAGUAGGGAAUCUUCGGCAAUGGACGAAAGUCUGACCGAGCAACGCCGCGUGAGUGAAGAAGGUUUUCGGAUCGUAAAACUCUGUUGUUAGAGAAGAACAAGGACGUUAGUAACUGAACGUCCCCUGACGGUAUCUAACCAGAAAGCCACGGCUAACUACGUGCCAGCAGCCGCGGUAAUACGUAGGUGGCAAGCGUUGUCCGGAUUUAUUGGGCGUAAAGCGAGCGCAGGCGGUUUCUUAAGUCUGAUGUGAAAGCCCCCGGCUCAACCGGGGAGGGUCAUUGGAAACUGGGAGACUUGAGUGCAGAAGAGGAGAGUGGAAUUCCAUGUGUAGCGGUGAAAUGCGUAGAUAUAUGGGAGGAACACCAGUGGCGAAGGCGGCUCUCUGGUCUGUAACUGACGCUGAGGCUCGAAAGCGUGGGGGAGCAAACAGGAUUAGAUACCCUGGUAUUCCACGCCGUUAAACGAUGAUUGCUUAAUUGUUUGGAGGGUUU
rnacentral:rRNA from 1 species